GGAAGCGCGCAGCGAGCAGAGGGUGGGUGCAGGUGGCGGUCCCCGAGUCGGCCCAGUGAGGGCUGAACUGCUGCUCCCAGGAACCGAGCGGGGUGGGCUCGGUCCGACGCGCAUCAUGGCCGAGUGCCUAGGCCUGACUCUGAGCGCAGGCCUAGCGUGGAUGGCAUGGGCGCUACACAGCUCCAAGUUACGCGAUUCAAACUCUUGGAAUAAACCCAGGGCAGCCCUGGGGCUGUGUUGAUUCCUUGUCUCCCUCCCUCCCAGCAUUUACAGAAAAGACGCAUUUAUAGGAAAGACGCACGGGCAGGUCCAGCAGAGCCCUUACAAGCAUUUCAACCUUUUAGAAAUCAGAUAAGACCCUCUAAACAUCGUUACAUGGGCCACAGUUACAUUAAGACAGGCGUUCUGACGUUCUGAAACCGCCUUUGCAAAAAAUUGUAUCGGUGAGAGAAGGUUGGCCUUGAAGGAGAUCUGGCCAACCCCCAUCUUGCCUUUGGCCUUAAAACUGCCCUUAAUUAUUCCUGGAUAAGCAAAGGUUUCUUGCAUGUCUCACACGGAUGGAUCCAGCUAAAUGUCUUGCCAACAGCUCCUGUGGCCCCACCCAGAAGCCAUGCAGCACAAAAGGACCAAAAGGACAGCUAGAUUUCAUCUCGCACCUAACCAAUCAGCACUCCCCAUGCCCUAGCCCCCUGUUCACCAAACUACCUUUGAACAACCCCUAACCCAUGAGCCUUCAAUUGUAACCGAGCAGCUUAGCAGCUGUGAAUCCAAAAUAUCUGAGACAGGACUCAAUCUGUUUAGAAAGUUUAUUUUGUCAAGGUUAAGGACAAGCCCAUGACACAGCCUCAGGAGGUCCUGAUGACAUGUGCCCUGGGUGGCUGGGGCACAGCUUGCUUUCAUACAUUUUUAGGGAGACAUGAGACAUCAAUCAAUAUGUGUAAGAUGGAAAAAGAAGAAAAAAUAUAUGUAUAAGAUGUACAUUAAGCCGGGCGCGGUGGCUCACGCCUAUAAUCCCAGUACUUUGGGAGGCUGAGGCAGGUGGAUGGCCUGAGGUCAGGAGUUCGAGACCAGCCUGGCCAACAUAGUGAAACCCUGUCUCUACUAAAAAUACAAAAAAUUAGCUGGGCGCGGUGGUGGGUUUCACUCGUGUCCAUGUGAAGAGACCACCAAACAGGCUUUGUGUGAGCAAUCAAGCUGUUUAUUUCACCUGGGUGCAGGUGGGCUGAGUCUGAAAAGAGAGUCAGUGAAGGGAGAUAAGGGUGGGGCCGUUUUAUAGGAUUUGGGUAGAUAAAGGAAAAUUAUAGUCAAAGGGGGGUUGUUCUCUGGCGGGCAGAGUGGGAGUCACAAGGUGCUCAGUAGGGGAGCUUUUGAGCCAGGAUGAGCCAGGAGAAGGAAUUUCACAAGACAAUGUUAUCAGUUAAGGCAGGAACAGGCCAUUUUCACUUCUUUUAUGGUGGAAUGUCAUCAGUUAAGGCGAGAACCAGCCAUCUGGAUGUGUACGUGCAGGUCACAGGGGACAUGGUGGCUUAGCUUGGGCUCAGAGGCCUGACAGUGGGCGCCUGUAAUCCCAACUACUUUGGAGGCUGAGGCAGGAGAAUCGCUUGAACCCGGGAGGCAGAGGUUGCA
rnacentral:lncRNA from 1 species